AUAACGAGGGUUUAACUGUCUCUUUUUUUCGGUCAAUGAAACUGAUCUGCCCGUGCAGAAGCGGGCAUACCCACACAAGACGAGAAGACCCUAUGGAGCUUUAGACGCUCACCAACCACUAAAAGAGACCCGAUCUAACGGGCUUUCAAACAAUGUGGCCCUGGNAUAAACGUCUUCGGUUGGGGCGACCGCGGAGGAGAGAAAAGCCUCCGAGAGGAUUGGGGGAAACCCUAAAACCAAGAGCCACAGCUCUAAGUCACAAAAUAUUUGACCGACAACGAUCCGGCUUCUUGCCGAUCAACGGACCAAGUUACCCUAGGGAUAACAGCGCAAUCCCCUCCCAGAGUCCAUAUCGACGAGGGGGUUUACGACCUCGAUGUUGGAUCAGGACAUCCUAAUGGUGCAGCCGCUAUUAAGGGUUCGUUUGUUCAACGAUUAAAG
rnacentral:rRNA from 1 species